rnacentral:rRNA from 1 species
CAGCCCUUGACAUGGCAGGACGGUUUCCAGAGAUGGAUUCCUUCACUUCGGUGACUUGCACACAGGUGCUGCAUGGCUGUCGUCAGCUCGUGUCGUGAGAUGUUGGGUUAAGUCCCGCAACGAGCGCAACCCUCGCCUUUAGUUGCCAUCAUUUAGUUGGGCACUCUAGAGGGACUGCCGGUGAUAAGCCGGAGGAAGGUGGGGAUGACGUCAAGUCUUCAUGGCCCUUACGGGCUGGGCUACACACGUGCUACAAUGGCGGUGACAGAGGGCAGCUAGACCGCGAGGUCAUGCUAAUCCCUAAAAGCCGUCUCAGUUCGGAUUGCACUCUGCAGCUCGAGUGCAUGAAGUUGGAAUCGCUAGUAAUCGUAGAUCAGCACGCUACGGUGAAUACGUUCCC